GUAACUAUAAUUUGGGAUACUAGUUCCAGUGUUUCUUGUACAUACAUUUCGUCACUACUUCCCCUCUACUUGAUUUCUGUUCCAGGAUUAUGUAAAGUUCCAUAUUUGGGGAUGUUAUUGACGACUUUCCCAAUGAAAAUUACAAUUUAGUUUUACGUAAGCUUUUUCUUUGGAAAUUAA